UACGAAGGGGGCUAGCGUUGCUCGGAAUCACUGGGCGUAAAGCGCACGUAGGCGGAUUGUUAAGUCAGGGGUGAAAUCCCUCGGCUCAACCGGGGAACUGCGUCUGAUACUGGGUGGCUUGAAUCCGGGAGAGGGAUGCGGAAUUCCAGGUGUAGCGGUGAAAUGCGUAGAUAUCUGGAGGAACACCGGUGGCGAAGGCGGCAUCCUGGACCGGCAUUGACGCUGAGGCGCGAAAGCCAGGGGAGCAAACGGG
rnacentral:rRNA from 1 species